AAGGGCACCACAAGAACGCGUGGAGCAUGUGGCUUAAUUUGACUCAACGCGGGAAAUCUUACCGGGUCCGGACACACUGAGGAUUGACAGGCAAUAUUAAUAUUUUUCUGUUUACAGUAAUUUUAUUAUGUUAAAUAUGCUAGUCCUUUCAUGAUUAUGUGAUAGGUGGUGCAUGGCCGUUCUUAGUUCGUGGAGUGAUCUGUCUGCUUAAUUGCGUUUCACUAAGGGCCUAUAAUUUACGUGUGUUGCGGCACUUUGACCCCUCAUUUUUUUUUUAAUUAAAUUUUAUGAGCGCGCGUCUUAGUUUGUUUAGCUCACACAAUUAGGUCCUGAAAGCAACGAACGUGACCGCAACCUCUUGUUGCCUUUAUACCAAACAUGAGUUUAAUUCUCUUCGGAGGGUUUUCAUGAAAAAAGGCUUUUUAAACUAGAGGGACCGCUGUUACUUUCUUAAACCAGAGGAAGGUUGCGGCAAUAACAGGUCUGUGAUGCCCUUAGAUGUUCCGGGCUGCACACGUGCUACAAUGAUUAUUGCAGUGAGCAUCUCAUUUUUUACACACCGCAUACGCGAGUCUAUUUAUUCACUUUCGGGUGCUUUAAAUGUGAUCUCUGCGAGCGGUAAAGCCUGCUUCGAAAGUAAGUGGGUAAUCAAUUAGAAGUAAUGAUUUCCUUUUUUUUAGCACACAUAUAUACGGCGUUUAUACCCGGGCUGCACUUGUUGUAGCUUUUGUGCGUAUAGAUGUUUUUUCCGUAUGUGCGAUUGUCAAUUCAUGGUGGGGACAGACCAUUGUUAAUUGUUGGUCUCGGUCUUAACUAGGAAUGCCUUGUACGGGUCUUUGGUUCAACAAACCACCCGGAAUACGUCCCUGCCCUUUGUACACACCGCCCGUCGCUCUUACCGAUGGACUUCUCUGUGAGUUUGAGGGACUGGGAACGCAGAUUUUAUCUGCACACCUAUGGAAACUUAAACGAACAGUGUGGUCUAAAGGAAAGAG
rnacentral:rRNA from 1 species